GGGUGCUAUACUGCAGUCGAGCGACUGAUUAGAAGCUUGCUUCUAUGACGUUAGCGGCGGACGGGUGAGUAACACGUGGGCAACCUGCCUGUAAGACUGGGAUAACUCCGGGAAACCGGAGCUAAUACCGGAUAACAUUUUCUCUUGCAUAAGAGAAAAUUGAAAGAUGGUUUCGGCUAUCACUUACAGAUGGGCCCGCGGUGCAUUAGCUAGUUGGUGAGGUAACGGCUCACCAAGGCAACGAUGCAUAGCCGACCUGAGAGGGUGAUCGGCCACACUGGGACUGAGACACGGCCCAGACUCCUACGGGAGGCAGCAGUAGGGAAUCUUCCGCAAUGGACGAAAGUCUGACGGAGCAACGCCGCGUGAGUGAUGAAGGCUUUCGGGUCGUAAAACUCUGUUGUUAGGGAAGAACAAGUACAAGAGUAACUGCUUGUACCUUGACGGUACCUAACCAGAAAGCCACGGCUAACUACGUGCCAGCAGCCGCGGUAAUACGUAGGUGGCAAGCGUUAUCCGGAAUUAUUGGGCGUAAAGCGCGCGCAGGCGGUUUCUUAAGUCUGAUGUGAAAGCCCACGGCUCAACCGUGGAGGGUCAUUGGAAACUGGGGAACUUGAGUGCAGAAGAGAAAAGCGGAAUUCCACGUGUAGCGGUGAAAUGCGUAGAGAUGUGGAGGAACACCAGUGGCGAAGGCGGCUUUUUGGUCUGUAACUGACGCUGAGGCGCGAAAGCGUGGGGAGCAAACAGGAUUAGAUACCCUGGUAGUCCACGCCGUAAACGAUGAGUGCUAAGUGUUAGAGGGUUUCCGCCCUUUAGUGCUGCAGCUAACGCAUUAAGCACUCCGCCUGGGGAGUACGGUCGCAAGACUGAAACUCAAAGGAAUUUGACGGGGGCCCGCACAAGCGGUGGGAGCAUGUGGUUUAAUUCGAAGCAACGCGAAGAACCUUACCAGGUCUUGACAUCCUCUGACAACUCUAGAAGAUAGAGCGUUCCCCUUCGGGGGACAGAGUGGAAAGGUGGGGGCAUGGUGUCGUCAGCUCGUGUUCGUGGGAGAAGGGUUGGGGUUAAGUCCCGCAACGAGCGCAACCCUUUGGAUCUUAGUUGCCAGCCAUUUUAGUUGGGCAACUCCUAAA
rnacentral:rRNA from 1 species